rnacentral:lncRNA from 1 species
CAGGAACUAGAGACGAUAGUUUCAAUCACUUUGAAAUAGCGAGCGUGCGAUUGAGAACUUGAUACUGGAGGCUGCCAUUGUCGCGAUGACGAUGACAGUGGAACUGGUGGAACUGCGAAAUGACGCACAAACGAUUAUAUUGGAGCACCUUGAUCGAGGUGCUGAAAUGAAACCGGAAUUCAAGAUGCGACACCAUUCAAAGGAAGUGAUUAAUCACAUCUGUACGCAAACAUGUGGCAAGGUGGCGCAAGAGCUUGGUGGAUUUGCGGAGGGAAAUGUUGGCGCGGGUACUUGCCUGUCUCUGGGAUGCCAGGCUGAAAUACUCCACUGGCAGUCAUCUCAAGUCCUGGUUGCAUUGAGCGCAGUAGGAUGAUUGCCACCCUUGCUGUCUUCCUUCAAACAUCAUGCUGCGCUGCUGCCAUAUCUAUGUACAAGCAGGUAUCAAUGAGGCAAGUGGCAUCGCAGAUAUGAGCCCUCCAGAGCCGCCAGCAGUCGAGCCCAGCAACACAAACUCCAAACUUCCCCGUGAUGUGGCCAUUUCCAUCUCCAGUGUUGAGGCGGGUUUGCCUGGAGUGGCCAUAUCUGUGUGGCUGGCUCUUCUUGAGGAUCGUUAUGAGCCCUCCGGAUCUGCCAGUGAUUGAGCCCUACAACAUGAACCCUCACUGCUAGUACUGCAUGGCCAUCACCAGGCUGGAGGCACACUUGCUUGAAGUGGCUGGAUGUGUGUCCACAGGGCUGACUUUUCUUGAAAUGCGGUGAACUUCCGCAUGACUGCGGCCACAUGGUCUCGUUCAUGAGGAGCACUAAGCUUCGCCACGAAUUGGUUGAAUACAACAAGCUGCAUGAA